rnacentral:rRNA from 1 species
UACAGAGGUCCCAAGCGUUGUUCGGAUUCAUUGGGCGUAAAGGGUGCGUAGGCGGCGCGGUAAGUCGGGUGUGAAAUCUCGGAGCUUAACUCCGAACUGCAUUCGAUACUGCCGUGCUUGAGGACUGGAGAGGAGACUGGAAUUUACGGUGUAGCGGUGAAAUGCGUAGAUAUCGUAAGGAAGACCAGUGGCGAAGGCGGGUCUCUGGACAGUUCCUGACGCUGAGGCACGAAGGUCAGGGAGCAAACGGG